AAAUAAAAAUAAAAAGAAUUUUAUCACUUAAAAAAAUAAACUAUUAGAGAAAUAAAAUCAAAAUCUGGACACUGACUGACUGCCUCCAAUUUAAUGUUAUAAAAAAGAAAUCAAAGACCAGCCUUUUUGUUGUUAUUUUCAUUUAGGAAACUGUACAAUUUUUUUGAACUAUACUUCAAAAUAUCUGCCAUAAUGUGUCCAAGAUUAGGACUCUAUCUUGGCAAGUACUGUGUGAGAUUUUCAAAAAACUAUAUAAACAAGUCAUUUUUUUAGUCCAGGAAAGUCAUAUUCUAUUACUAUGUCUUUACUAGUUUUGUUUCAUUUUGCUCUUGGUCUCUUCCUUAGGUUUAUCUAUCAUUUCUUGUAUAAUGGCAUAAGGGUAGGUUUAAAUAUAAGUAACAUAAAUUGGUGAGAUUCAGACAUAUUGAUCCUUGGUUUGCAAAC